GGCGGCCAUGAAAAACACUUUCACCUCAAGCAAAUAUAUUGCCGAAUCCGUAUCGUUCAAAAAGCAAUUUUGCCUAGAAAGGCAACAGUAAGCAUGCUGCUAUCAUGAUGAAAAUGUUUUUCAUGGCCCCCAGAAUCUCUCAUGUCCGAAAUCUAACAUAUCUUUGCGCUGAUUACGUUUGCGCGUUUUAUUUUCCGUUGGGGUUAUUAGAAUGGACAGAUCGAGUAACAACAUUUCGGACAGUACAUCCGCCGUAAAUCAGAGUCAUUACAUGCUGAUAAUUUCGGAAUAAUCUCCUUAUGUCAGCAUAAAAGAGGGCAUUUAACGAUCAAUAUGUAUUGACCAUAGCAUGAUCAUGGAAUUACUAUCUACCCAAACACAAUUUUGUCAAGGGAGACAGAUUGGCAUAGAUUGAGAAAUUUGUUGGUUCGUUUCGGGUGUACUUUGGUAAGUUAGAUUCUAUUUUUGUU
rnacentral:sRNA from 1 species